UUGCCCUACGGGGCGCAGCAGUGGGGAAUAUUGCACAAUGGGGGAAACCCUGAUGCAGCAACGCCGCGUGAGUGAAGAAGUAUUUCGGUAUGUAAAGCUCUAUCAGCAGGGAAGAAGAGAGACGGUACCUGACUAAGAAGCCCCGGCUAACUACGUGCCAGCAGCCGCGGUAAUACGUAGGGGGCGAGCGUUAUCCGGAUUUACUGGGUGUAAAGGGAACGUAGACGGUUUUUCAAGUCUGAAGUGAAAGCCCGCGGCUCAACUGCGGAACGGCUUUGGAAACUGAGUAACUGGAGUGCUGGAGG
rnacentral:rRNA from 1 species